rnacentral:rRNA from 1 species
UACAGAGGGUGCAAGCGUUGUUCGGAAUUAUUGGGCGUAAAGGGAGUGUAGGCGGUUUGAUAAGUCUUCUGUGAAAUCUACGGGCUUAGCCUGUAACGUGCAGAGGAAACUAUCAGGCUUGAGUGUCGGAGAGGAUAGGGGAAUUCCUGGUGUAGCGGUGAAAUGCGCAGAUAUCAGGAGGAACACCGGCGGCGAAGGCGGCCCACUGGUCCGGUACUGACGCCUGAGGUGCGAAAGCGUGGGGAGCAAACAGG